rnacentral:rRNA from 1 species
GACGAACGCUGGCGGCGCGCCUAACACAUGCAAGUCGAGCGAGAACCAGGGCUUCGGCCCUGGGGACAGCGGCGAACGGGUGAGUAAUACAUCGGAACGUACCCAGGAGUGGGGGAUAACGUAGCGAAAGUUACGCUAAUACCGCAUAUUCUGUGAGCAGGAAAGCGGGGGAUCGCAAGACCUCGCGCUCUUGGAGCGGCCGAUGUCGGAUUAGCUAGUUGGUGAGGUAAAAGCUCACCAAGGCGACGAUCCGUAGCAGGUCUGAGAGGAUGAUCUGCCACACUGGGACUGAGACGCGGCCCAGACUCCUACGGGAGGCAGCAGUGGGGAAUUUUGGACAAUGGGGGCAACCCUGAUCCAGCCAUGCCGCGUGAGUGAAGAAGGCCUUCGGGUUGUAAAGCUCUUUCGGCGGGGAAGAAAUGGCAACGGCUAAUAUCUAUUACUAAUGACGGUACCUGAAGAAUAAGCACCGGCUAACUACGUGCCAGCCGCCGCAGUAAGAC